rnacentral:rRNA from 1 species
GUGCCAGCAGCCGCGGUAAUACAGAGGGUGCGAGCGUUAAUCGGAGUUACUGGGCGUAAAGGGCGCGUAGGCGGUGAGAUGAGUGUGAUGUGAAAGCCCCGGGCUUAACCUGGGAAGUGCAUUGCAAACUAUCUGACUGGAGUAGAUGAGAGGGUGGCGGAAUUUCCGGUGUAGCGGUGAAAUGCGUAGAGAUCGGAAGGAACGUCGAUGGCGAAGGCAGCCACCUGGCAUCAUACUGACGCUGAGGCGCGAAAGCGUGGGGAGCGAACAGGAUUAGAAACCCCGGUAGUCC